UUCCCUUCCCCCCCCGCCCUCUCUCGGUUGUCCCCUCUAUGGGGUGGUUUGCGACAGCUAUAACGAAGGCAGCUUGCAUGAGGCCUUUUUAGGCACCCUUCUGGUCCGGCGCCUUCUAGCUCCGUUUUUGAGGGCGCUGAGACAGAAAGAGGGUCGAGCUUUGAAUAAAGUGCAGUGGAUCUAGCUUUUAAAAGAAAGGAUUAGAGAAAAUAGGGGGCUUUCCUUACAGGUAUAACUUCUUAACUGAAAAGGGCCCCUAGACGAGACUUUCCCUUCCGCGCCGAGACUUUCCCAUCCGCAGUGGUGGAUGAGAGCGCAAUUAUUGAGAGAAGACCAGUCCAGGCCCUCGCGAUUCAUAGCUUCUUGCGGCUUGAGUGUUAAAAGGAGCCACCGGAUUAAACUUGUAAUUCGAACCUGUUAGGAGACAGAAUGCCCAUGCAGCCUUUGGAAAAAUGCAUAUUGCUUCAGGGGGAAGAGAUGCUUUUAAAUUGCAAUCUUGAGCUUGAUGGGAGUGUGGCAUAGCGCUGAUUAAUGGGCAUGAUUUUAUGAUAAAAUACAUGAUUUAAAUUAGAAGGACUUGUUUUCAAUGUUCGGCUGCAACUCAAAUUAGAGGCUAGAGAGGAAAGAAUCUGGUUAAGUACUAUAAUUAAUUUGUUAAUAACUAAGUUUAUAAUACUUUAAAAAUGACUACCCUGCACAUUUUUGUUGGUGUACCAGGGUUGGAGGAAGAUCUGAAAGCAUGGCUUGCUUAAGGCCACGUGGAAAUAUGAGCCUAAAAGCUGUGAUGGUGUUGCUGUUACACAUAAUGAGCUCUGUGACGUGAUAACGCUACUAUACUAUUAAGAUGAAGAUGAAAUUUAGAACAGCUGGGACGCAUUUGGCAUUGGGUCUUCAGUUUCUGAUUCCUAACAUGCAUCAAUGAUACAGGAGCACUCCUAGACUAAAGACAGCCAUUAUGUUUGAGAAAAGUGUUUGAAGUCAAAGGGGAACGUAAUCUGAAGUUGGCUUCGCCGAAGUUACAUCAUGCAUGAGCCUCUCGUCUUUGAAGAUUUGAAGAAAAUCAGUUCAUUAAAAAUGUAAAGAUUAAAUGUAACACCCGAAUGUUCUUUUUUUAAAGAGAAUGUAAUUGUGAUCGUAUGCAAUAAGUUGUAAAAAUAAAAGAUUUAAUGCACCAGA